GAAAGAAACCAUGAACAGAAGAUCCUCCAGUGGGAAGGGAAGCCGGGAAAAGCAGCCCUCCAGGGACCAUUCUGCCUGGAUUUGGAUAUGGGGAAGUCCUGGGCAGGAGGCCGAGGGGCAGAGGCACUGAAGCCUGAAACAGGGCACCCCCUCUCACAGAGGACUGCACCUUGGACCCUGCUGUCCCUUCAGCUGUCCAGAGCCCUUCCAGGCCAGAAGUGGCAAACAGUCCUGAGAGACAUGGAGGUCCUGGAGAUUCUUGGAGAGGGCCAGGCACCACUCUGGGCCUUGUCUGUUAGACGGAUUCCUCCACCAUCUCUCAUACCUCUCCUCCUUCGUGUACAGGGAGGGGGCGGGGAGAGGGGCGCCUCCUUGCCGCAGUCCCAGGGCCCCAAGGUGAGAAGUAAGAGGUGGGGAAGGGCCUCACCGUGUCCUGGGCUGUAGGGCCGGGCCAGGCCAGGUACAGGGAGGUCCUUGUCCCAAAGACUCCAGAAUCGUAACCCUCAAGCACUUCCUACUGUGAGGAGCUACAAAGCAAGCCGGGGUCUCCUCAGCAGGGUAUUAUGACACCCUCACAUCCCAGCAGUGGAAGGACACUGGUGUGUCACUGAGCACACUGUCUUGCUCGGCUGCAAGCCCGCAGCUUUGGCCUCAGCUGUUAAUCCUCUCAGG
ensembl:lncRNA novel transcript, sense intronic to BCAS3